rnacentral:sRNA from 1 species
UCCCGUCUGGGUUCCAAUAGAUGACGC